GUGAUUUCGCUCGAGAUGGAUGUGUGGCGGCGACCCAGUUUUCCAUGGUCGGGUCCAUUUGCUAAUCGGCGUCCCUGUCAAUGGUUUCGUGUACCUGUCAGUCGGCUUGACAGGGUGCCAUGCAAGUGGCGCUUAGAUAAGUGCAUCAAUGCUCGAGGUUAGGGACUAAAUUAUGGUGAUGGCGCACAUGUCGUCUCCAGUUGUGAGGCGUGAUGCGACAAGUUUGCUGGAUAAGAUGGUGGUAUCCGGUCAGCACAAGCUAGGCAGCAGCCUCUGGUGUUUUGAUUGGUGGUAUCCGAUCAUCUUUUUCGCGGACAGAGGGGCUGGCGUUAUGGCGGCUGUGUACAGCGAUGACCACAAGUUCUCCCGUGAUUUGCCUCCAUCUCCUACUCCUAGCUCCCUCUUUUUUGCUCCUAUAGCAGUAGAAGGCUUUAAAUGUGGUGCAUGCGUGAGGAUCAAUCAUGUUGACUGCGUGACAAUCAUGUUUCUCAUCAUUGUAAUUUUUGGUAGUAACUCUGAUAGGCCACUACACUUUCCAAAUUCCAAUGCUUGCCUGUUGGUCGUCCCCAAGUUUUCACUACCCUGAGCCUUCGAGUACAAGAGGCUGCUGCUUGACUAUAACAGCAAAAAUGUGCAAUAUUGGAUUAAUGAUUGAAGUGCAUUAGCGGUUUAUCUUCUUCUUCACAAGUCUGUUUGCAAUGGAUGUACAUAACUGUCAUUUUUACCUCUUGCUAUUUAACAUACAUGACAAUAGCUGUAGGUAUUGAAAUAUAUGUGAAGGUAGAAGCUAUCGUUGCUGCCUUGUGGGUCGUAAUUCUUUCUCUCUAGACGCGUAUACUGUGUGAUGUAUUGCUCAUGCUCAUAUUCUGUACCAAGAUAGUCCUAAUAUCCGUAGGGUUGUAGACUGAUUUCCCCUUGAAAAAGCUAUGCUUCUUUCUUUGGAUGAUAAGCAUGUUCGGCAGCUAUGUGGAAUCCUUAAGAUAAAUGGUCUUUAGUUUCUUUUGGUGCAUCUGCGUGCACAUAACAGUUUGUUAGUUUCACUUUAUAUAAUGAAGAAAAUAUGCUGCUGUCAUUUGUUUAUUAUUAUCUAUCAUCUGUAGAUUGAUUUUUAGGCCAUCAAUACUUGUAUGUAUGAUUUCUAGUCUUGAAUGAAUUAUUUUUCUUUAGGUGACAUGCGUCUUGUGUUACUACAUACAUCUAUCGUGAAGUACAUGGUUCCAGAACUAUGGUAACCCGCAGUUUGCUCUACUGGUGAUAGUAGGAUGAUGGAAACAUCACUACUAAAUGUAGUCCCUGUUUCUUCAACUAAUCAUCAUGUACUAGAGUUUCUCUUCUUCUUGCUACUGUUUGGUUUUUGACGUCACUAGCUUGUACUAAAACGUGCAGACUUUACCCCUUGCUAGAUCCUUCAAUGGAGGUGACCCAUGUGAUGGUGAUUCGCUCCAGCAGUUCCGGUUCCGGCUGUGGUGGUGCUACACUGCUACUGCACCUAUGAUGGCUACGCAUUGGUAGGCUCGGCUGCCUCCCUUGGCUGUCGCUGUGAUGGUGAAGCUCAGCCUAGGCUACAAUCACUUCCGAUGAGCUCCUCGGGUCCCCUUCUACCCCUCCUACUCGCUCCAUGAUUAUUUGCUUUGCCUUUGUGAGGUGUAAUUGUUUAAUUUUUGUCAUAGUCGAGCAUUGGAUGAUAUCAUGAGGGACAUUGUUCAUGGAUAUGCCAACCUGCAGCUUGUUGUACUAGUUAUAGUAGGAUAAUGCAAGUUUUGACAAUCCAUACAUAUCCCUACAUGUUAGUGUCUCCCCGUGUAAGUAUGAAUUCUGGUGAUGCCUUCAUCUAUGAUGAUGCUCCGCCUUUCGCAUUCA